AUACAGAGGGUGCGAGCGUUAAUCGGAAUUACUGAGCGUAAAGCGCGCGUCGGCGGUCUAUUAAGUCAGAUGUGAAAUCCCAGGGCUCAACCUUGGAACUGCAUCUGAUACUGGUAGACUAGAGUUUUGGAGAGGGAAGUAGAAUUUCAGGUGUAGCGGUGAAAUGCAUAGAGAUCUGAAGGAAUACCAGUGGCGAAGGCGACUUCCUGGCCAAAAACUGACGCUGAGGUGCGAAAGCGUGGGUAGCAAACGGGAUUAGAAACCCUAGUAGUCC
rnacentral:rRNA from 1 species